rnacentral:rRNA from 1 species
AACGAAGUCUGCAGUCGACGAUUCUACGGGAGGCAGCAGUGGGGAAUCUUGCACAAUGGAGGAAACUCUGAUGCGGCGAUGCCGCGUGAGUGAAGAAGGCCCUUGGGUUGUAAAGCUCUUUCGUCGGGGAAGAAAAUGACUGUACCCGAAUAAGAAGGUCCGGCUAACUUCGUGCCAGCAGCCGCGGUAAUACGAAGGGACCUAGCGUAGUUCGGAAUUACUGGGCUUAAAGAGUUCGUAGGUGGUUGAAAAAGUUAGUGGUGAAAUCCCAGAGCUUAACUCUGGAACUGCCAUUAAAACUUUUCAGCUAGAGUAUGAUAGAGGAAAGCAGAAUUUCUAGUGUAGAGGUGAAAUUCGUAGAUAUUAGAAAGAAUACCAAUUGCGAAGGCAGCUUUCUGGAUCAUUACUGACACUGAGGAACGAAAGCAUGGGUAGCGAAGAGGAUUAGAUACCCUCGUAGUCCAUGCCGUAAACGAUGUGUGUUAGACGUUGGAAAUUUAUUUUCAGUGUCGCAGGGAAACCGAUAAACACACCGCCUGGGGAGUACGACCGCAAGGUUAAAACUCAAAUGAAUUGACGG